rnacentral:rRNA from 1 species
AGUGAACGCUGGCGGUAGGCCUAACACAUGCAAGUCGAACGGCAGCACAGUAAGAGCUUGCUCUUACGGGUGGCGAGUGGCGGACGGGUGAGGAAUACAUCGGAAUCUACUUUUUCGUGGGGGAUAACGUAGGGAAACUUACGCUAAUACCGCAUACGACCUACGGGUGAAAGCAGGGGAUCUUCGGACCUUGCGCGAUUGAAUGAGCCGAUGUCGGAUUAGCUAGUUGGCGGGGUAAAGGCCCACCAAGGCGACGAUCCGUAGCUGGUCUGAGAGGAUGAUCAGCCACACUGGAACUGAGACACGGUCCAGACUCCUACGGGAGGCAGCAGUGGGGAAUAUUGGACAAAGGGCGCAAGCCUGAUCCAGCCAUACCGCGUGGGUGAAGAAGGCCUCCGGGUUGUAAAGCCCUUUUGUUGGGAAAGAAAAGCAGCAGGUUAAUACCCCGCUGUUCUGACGGUACCCAAAGAAUAAGCACCGACUAACUUCGUG